CCGUCGGUAGCGGCGUAGGCCCGUGCCCCUGCUCGCGCUGCAGCCCGUGGAAGGGUUCCGUCCAGUGUAUCCUUCAGAUCUUGCUGUAGGCCUCUCGUAUCUGUGCGCGCGCAGCAGGGGCGGCGGCGGCGACGGCCGGAGGUGUACGGUCAGCGGGUUGCGGAGGAUCGUGCGGGUAGCAAAGGGAGGCCGAGUGCUCCUGCGGCUCCCAGACGGCAACCAGUUGCUUCCUCUACUGAAGUCUUGAAACCCCUGAAAGUCAUCCCUGAGGGUUGGAGUUAACUUCUUCUACACCCUGUUAAUGUUGAUAUUUUGACAUCCUUCCAUGAAUCACAAAUGUUCUUAAUGGCAUCUAGAAUGAACAUGCAUCAUUAUUAGAACCAUCACCCUGCAGCUAGCUUGGAUACCAUUAAAAGGGCUCAUCAGCUGCAAACGGAUUAAAGUAUCUGAUACUCGGGAAGACAGAGUUUCAGGGUUUCUACCUGGAGCUACACCCUCAGGAAGCCCCUCCUUGGCCUCCCUGCACCCAGCCCCAUCCCAACCAGUCACAACUUGGGCUGUGCGUGGUGUUUCUUGGAAACUGGAACGUAGACUCCUCCAGCAGCUCCACAGGCCCCUUGUCCUCAAUGAGCAGAAGACUACAGAAGCUGGCUACUGAAGAGGCUGUCCAAGUGAUAGAGCACCUUCUUGGCCCUGCUUAGCACAUUUACUGCAGAGCUGGAUGCUACUUAUUUGUGCUCACCACCUUCAGGGAUUGCAGAGAGAUUUGUCAGACCCUACUUCACUAAGGGCCACCCUCUAAGGAUCUCCAGAAGAGGCUGCCCAUAGAGAGAAGUGGCCUGCCUAGGGUCUCCACUGCCUCAGGUCCUACCCAGACACCUCUAGGGCUGAGGGGAUCAGUAUCUCUUCAUCUACCUGUAAUCCACAUACCAAGUGGAAGAAUCUGCCUGCUGUUUUUUGUUUGUUUGUUUUGGCGGGAAGAGUUUUAACUACUGCUGUAAUUCCUUUAGUAGCUAUGGAACUGUUGAGGAUUUCUUUUUCUUCUUGAGUCGAUUUUGGUAAGAUAACAGUUUUCUAGGAGUUGGUCCAUUUUGUCUGCAUUUUCAAAUUCAUUGGCAUAAAGUUACCUUUUUAUUCUCUGCUGUGUAUAAACUGUAACAAUGUCUCCUUUUUCAUUACUGAUAUUGGUUAUUUGUGCCUUCUCACUUUUUUUCUUGAUCAAUCUCACCAGAGGUUUAUCUAUUUUAUUAGUCUUUUCAAAGAACCAACUUUUGGCUUUGUUGCUCCUCUCUAUUGUAUCUUUGUUUUCUAUUUCUUUAAUUUCUGCUCUUAUCUUUUUUGAUCUCCUUCCUUCCACAUUUUUUGGGUUUAUUCUGUUGUUCUUUUUCUAAUUUAACUGGACGUUGAGCUCAUUAAUUUUCAUUCUUGCCCAUUUUCUAAUUUGUGCAUUUAAGGAUAUAAUUUCCCUCUAACUCCUACUUCUCCAUAAGUUUAGAUAUGUAGUAUUUUCAUUAUUGCUCAGUUAUAAGUACUUCAUUUCCAUCAAGGUUACUUCUUUGACCUGUAAGUUACAUAGAAAUGUGUUUUUAGAUUUCCAAAUGUUUGGGGAUUUAAAAUUUUAUCUCUUUGUUAUUGAAAUCUAUCUUAAUUGCAUUAUGGUCAGAAGAUGUGGUUUGUGUGAUAACAACUCUGAAAUUUUUUAGACUUGUUUUAUGGCUUAGUAUGUGACCAAUAUUUUUGAAUGCUUCCUAUGUGCUAAUUUAUAAGAACGUGUGUUCUCUAAUUGUUGAAUACAGAGAUCUACAUAUGUCUAUUAUCAAGUUUGUCAACUAUUGUUCAAUUUUUACUUACCUAUACCGAUUUUUUUUGGUCAUUAUCUACUGAUAAUUGAAAGGUGUGUUAAUGUUCAACUGUAAUGGUGGAUUUGGCAAUUUCUCCUUGUAAUUCUGUCUCGUUUCUUGCUUUAUAUAUUUUGAGGGUGUUCAUUAGGAAUAUUCAAAUUAAAAAUUGUUAUAUAUUCCUGAUAAAUAUGUAAUGACCCUCUCUAUUCCUGAUAAUGCAUUUUUCUUUGAAACCUAUUUUAUCUUUUAUUAAUAUAGUAACAGAAACUUUUCUUGUUGGGAUUUGUGUGGUACAUAAUUUUCCAUCCUUUUACUUUUGAGCAUUUUCAUGCCAUUAUGCUUUAAUUAUAUCUCUUGGAAACAACAUAUAACUGGACCUUUUAAAAAAUCUAAUCUGAUGAUCUCUUUUAGUUGGCAAGUUUAGUCUGUUUACAUUUACUGUGAUGUAUUUGGGCUUGUUUCUACCAUCAUACUUUUUUAUUUCUGUUUACCACCACUACCUUUUCUGUGCUUCAUUUUCUCUUUUCUCGCCUGCUUUUUUAAU